UACGUAGGGUGCGAGCGUUGUCCGGAAUUAUUGGGCGUAAAGAGCUUGUAGGCGGUUUGUCGCGUCUGUCGUGAAAACCAGGGGCUUAACUCCUGGCGUGCGGUGGGUACGGGCAGGCUAGAGUGUGGUAGGGGAGACUGGAAUUCCUGGUGUAGCGGUGAAAUGCGCAGAUAUCAGGAGGAACACCGAUGGCGAAGGCAGGUCUCUGGGCCAUUACUGACGCUGAGAAGCGAAAGCAUGGGGAGCGAACAGGAUUAGAUACCCUGGUAGUCCAUGCCGUAAACGUUGGGCGCUAGGUGUGGGGCUCAUUCCACGAGUUCUGUGCCGCAGCUAACGCAUUAAGCGCCCCGCCUGGGGAGUACGGCCGCAAGGCUAAA
rnacentral:rRNA from 1 species